AGGGCGUCAUCAUUGGCUAUUCCAAAACACAUACUGAAGUGUGUAUUGUAUUGUAAUUUGUUGUUGAGAGGUCGGACUAUUUGUUAUUUUAUACGUCAAUAGAUACCCUUUGAGCUGUGAAAUCGGAUAAUUCAUCGAUCAUGCCAACUAAUGAAGACUCGUGGAUGAAUAACAAAUUUAAUGAACAGAUGGUAAUUACUGGGAAAUGCUGAGUGAACAAUAUUCCGAUUAUAGGUGGCUGUGGUGUAGGUUUUCUGGUGUGAGCUGGUGAAACAUUGGGGUGAUUAUGGCGUUCGAUGAUGACAUUAUCAAGAAGAAGACUCCACUGAAAGUCCUAAACAAAAGUCCAAAUUAUUUCAGACGAAAUACCUCAAGUCAGCCACAGAAACGAAGUGCGUCAGCUGUAGAACAACUAUUCGAAGGUAGGGGAGAGAAUAAACUUGUAACAAGUGGAGAGAAUCAUAUCGGUUCUAAUGUAUUGAGCCAUAGACUUGAAUAUUACAAUAAAAAUAAAAAAGGUCUUCUCGAUGGCAGCAAAGGAGUGCCCAAUGAAGAUGACAGGCAUAAACAAAUUCGGGAUGAUACUUGUAUAUUUGAGGCAACACGAAGGAGCAGGAGAUCUGAAGAGCAACGGGAAAGGAUGAAACGUGCUAGGAGUGUUGAAAGGCCUAAUGUGAAACCAAGAUUUGUUCUGACAUUGUUUCCAUCGGAUGAAUCUUUAGAUGAAAGUACUAAUGAUCCUAGCGAACAAAGUAAAGGAGAUAGUUUUAAUGACAUUCCAACGGGAAGGGUUCUGAACCGGAUAAGUUUCUUCUCGAAAACUGACAGAAAUGUUUCCAAGAAUUCAAGUGCAAUUAAAUAUCAAGACCUUCAAAAGGUACCCUCUCAAACACCUUGCAAAAUUGAGAAUUAUAGCUCCAAGCCUCAUACCCACCCGGAGAAACCACCAAAACCACCGAAACCAACAAGUAUAAAAAUGAGCCAUGGUAAAGAAAACCAAAAAGGGGCUAGCAAUAUCACAUCUAAGGGAAUUCAAAUCCAAGAAGAAUCAAUCAAAUUGGGCUCUCAACAUGUUGGACAGAAAAAUAAUGCUUACAUUAGCUCUCAAGAAAAUAACAAUUCAUUUGAUGCUGUCAAUCAAGAAAAGCAUGUUACUAGAAGAAUCAUAGAGGCAAAACCUCUUUUAUCCCAUGGUAGCACCAACACCAUGCCAUCAAAUAGUGAAGGAUUACAGCAGAAAGCAGACAUCGGAAGACCUGUCAGAGACAAAAGUAAAGUUGUUAUUGGAGUGACUUCCACUGAGCUUUUAAAACCGAAAAAGUUAGACAUCGAAAGUGGUGUUGGCAACAGUUUACUUAGUAGUGCAAUGAACAGGUUGGCAAAUAAUGAGAGCAAUGCAAUCCCUGCAGUAUCCAUUGGCAUUUCCCAUAAUAUGGAUAAGCCCAGUUGUGCUGAAAGACUCGGUGUUGGGGUCCAAACACAUAAGCAAAAGAGUGAUGGUGAACAAAAGAUGGUCAUGAGUCGUAGUUUCCACCAUUUUCCUUCAGGAGGAACCAUCACUGAUAAGAAGAGAGCGGACUCAUCUGAACUGUCCACUAAAGCAGCUUUUGGUUCCAGAAGUUCUGAAGGAUUUGUCAAGAAGCAUGUACGACAAAGAUCAGCACCUGAUGCGAACAUCAGAGCAUGGUUGAAACAGGAAACCUCUCCACAAAUGACUACAGAUAUUUCUAAGGUCUCUAGGAAAGAUGAUAACCGCAUACAAGUUAUAUCACAACACAACUCGAUUCACUACAAACAAAAUUCAAAUCCUGAAGUGUGGGAGAGCAAUUUAGAUGUCAAUUCUAAGCAUGAAGUCAUAUCAUGUGCCAAGAAGCUUGGUGUUCAGACCAGUGAAACACGAUUCUUACGACAUUUGAGGCCUGAGAAACAAGAACCAAAGGCAAUUGUUAAGCCUCAGGAUCCAUCAAUUGUGAUGGCAAAACCAGCAAUUCCAAAAAAGCCCAGUAAAAAGUUAAUCGUUAAGAAGCAGCUUAACGACAGUGUAUUAAGGAAGGUAGAACAUAAAGAUGAUUUAAAAUCUACACAUUUAAUUUUAAAGAAGAAAAGCAAAGCAGGUCAGCCUCUCCAACCUAAGGACUUACAAAAUCAAAGGAAUGACUCUGAAAGGACUGGAAUCAAAUUAGCAGCUGAUACAAAAUCCUACAAUAAAGGAGAAGAAUACACAAACACACAUGGACAGGCUAUGGGCCUGGAUGGAAUGGCAUCCAGUGUAAAAAAUGAAGAUCAAAUCAAAAUAUCUGUUCAUGGUAAUGAAAUAUCUAUAUAUAAGCAUGAUGAAGCGCAUAUUAGCGCAAUUCCAAAGCUUUCAUUUGGACCAAGCGCUCAUCCUUUUACCAAGAAGUAUAAGCCUGUAAUAUUUCACCCCAGGAAAAAGUCUUCCAUUUCAUCAGAUAGUGUUUGCUCAGAAAUAUCCAAAUUGAAUGUUGAAAAUGAUAAACAGAUGGAGAAUUUAAAACAAUUACAAAGGGUAGGACGUGAACAGAAAGAGACAUCAGUAGAUAUGUUGAAUCAUAUGCAAAGCAAGUUUCAUUCCAGCAGGUCAACAACCUCCCCAGUACAGGAGAUUCAGACAGCUGUGAAAUCAAUUGGUGAUAUUGAUGAUGGAUAUGAUAUUGGUAGAAAGAUGUUGAGGUCAAAUCCGGGUAACAUGCUUGGGGCUAAUGAGCUAAAAUCCAAUCAACUUAAUUAUGUUAUGAACCCUGUAAAGAUACCUCAUGAACAAAAUUGUAGUGAAUACCAACAAAAUCAUGGCCAGCCUACUCAAGUUUUUAAUGAAUAUUCAUUAUCCGGGUCUGAGGUAAAUCAGCUAAGCAGUAAAAGUAAGUCAUCCAUGAAACCACUUACUGCUGGUCUCAGACAUAGACCUUAUGAAUAUUCAUUAUCUGUGAGCACUGAUUGGACAGAAAAGGGCUACAAGCAAUUCGGUAGUGUGGCUCCUCCCACAAGAAGUCAAGCAAAUCCUGAAUGUUUAACUGAAAGGACAGAUGAUUGGAGGACUCCAUCUCAUGAAUAUUUAUCAGCAACCAGUAAGCCAUCUGCUAGGAAUUUACUGGUAUUUGAUACUGUUAAUGUUCUUUCAAGUGUGAAUCAGGAAGGAAGGAUAGAGCAAAGCCCAUCCAGAGGCCAGGGCUGUACUUCAACUGCUGAAGUUUCUAGGCCUAUCUAUUCUGCCUACCCAUACCAGCAUAAAAAGUCCUAUAGUUCUAUAAGCCAGACUGAAUACGAACAAGAAAUCAAGAUGGACCGUUUUUUCCGUCCCGUUGUUAAGCGUGUCAACAGUUGGAAUGAUCAUGUUUCUAGGGAGCGAAGAAGGGAAAAGGACUCCAAAGAACUUUAUAAGAAAGCACUUAAAGAAAAUAAACAAAAACUUCUGAAUCAACAAUAUAAAAAAAGUUCAACUUCAGGGAGAGAAAAACAGGACAGUAAGUUUCCCAGUCAAGAUGGUGAGAGCAAUGUGCAAUUUUGUAACACAAGGAAUGUUGAUAAUACACCCACCGCUAAGGAAUUACUAAUCAUUCGGACUGAAGGAAUGAAGACAUACAGAAAACCCAAUGAAGGAAACAAUAAUGGUAAAAUAUCACAUCAAGAAAAAAAUAUUGUAGAAGCGGGGGUAAUUGAGGUUGAAAAUUCUUUCGUUAGUAGAAUUAAACCUCAGCAAAGUAAUGCUAACUACAAUCAGAACCUGCAGUGUAAUGAACAGUCUGGAAAAAUAUCGACUGAAAAUGAACUUCGAACGCGGCAAGCCAGUGUAGGUGAAGUUCAUGAGGCAUUAGCGAAAUUGAAUUCAUCUAAAAACUCACCGCCAAUUAUGUGCAGUUUUUCAAGCCCCAGUGUUACCUCUCGUAGUGUUGCAACUUCAGACAUUAGUCGUGAGGUUUCAACUUGUACACCAACAUUCCACCAGAAAGAUGGUCCUGAUUCUGUUUUUAUAUCGGAUGAUAAGCCUGCUGAAGAAAUGUCCACAGAUACUUUAGUCGAAGCUACAUUAAAAUCUGUUUUACAACGUGAGGAACAAUCUGCAAUGAAAGUUAGAAGAAACUCAAAGGAAUUAUUUGAAAAACGGAAUAUGGUAUUAAAGAUGGAAAAACCACAAUAUUUAGACUCAAAAAUUGAGGAGAAACCUAACACAAAUAUUGAAACAGGUAGUCAUUAUAACUCUUUGAAACGGAAACAGCACCUUAGGAGAAGAAAUUCUUGGGGUUCGUCCUCAGAUGUAAGUGUCCCGCAAACUCCUUCAUCUCGGCGGAACUCACUCUCCGAAUUGGACACGUUUUUUGAGCAGAUGGGACUUGAUGAUAACAUCCUAGUCACCGUGCAAUCUGAACAUGAACUUGAUGACGUAUUCCAUACAAUGUACAUGGAAGCGCUCAACGAUGACAAUCAAGACGCUGACUCGGAUGUUAUGUCGGAAGGCAGUCGCGUCAGUGAGAGUGGAUUGACCAAGAAACUGAAGAAAAUUCCUGACAACACUUCAUCGAUUAUUACACGCAACGCCAAAGUCAUAAAAUGGCUGUGUCAGUGUAAAAAAGCAAAGACUCAACUUUGAAACAGUCACACAUUUUUUUAGUACAGAUCACCAAACAUCUAGAUGUUUACAUUUUUGAUAGGCUUCGAUGGAUAGAUGACGCUUGAUUUCUCUACGAGUAAAUUCAUCAUUUAAAUUUGUGUCAGUUACUGAGUACUGAACUGAUUUUCCAAGGUUCACCAUGCUGUAUGAUCCAAAAAUUAAACUGUCUGUUGUUAGUAAUAAUAACUUGUCUAUGUGAACUUCCUAAGGUUCACAUUUUUUCCAGUACCAUAUGUGAUUUUAACUUGUCUAGUGAACUUGAUGUUGUCUGGAUCGAAGUCAUGAGUUACAGAUUAUUUCUUGUCAUGUUGUGAACCAUGAUCCUAAUUAAAUACACCUACAUUAUUGUGAUUAAUUGAACUCCAGAUGUAGUAAAGGGGAUGUACUUAAUACACCUUUGCCAUAUUUUUCAUUCUGUGUAUUUUUUUUAAAUAUAUUCCUCAACCUGGUGUAAUUAGUUUGAAGAUGAUGUUUGUUAGCAAUUUAUCAUUCAGUGUUUUCAUCAGUACCAAUAUUAAAAUUCUUCUACAAUAGUAAACUGACAAUACUGUAGCUAUUGUAAUCAAAUAUAGAAGAAACAAAUAUAAUAAUGGAAAAAUAAAGUAAGGUACUGAAUUGUUUAUGCAUCUCAAGAUAAGAGAACCAAAAGAUGAAAAAGUGCAUUGCACUACCUUAAUUUUCAGAACAUGUUCAAUGUUAAACAUCAGUAUCCCAAUAACACCAGAAAUAAAAAUCAUUGUAUUAAAAAAUUGGAUGAUCAUAGACAAUAGCGUCACUUUGUGAACUCAAUUGGUCCCAGUGGAUGUCAGAUUAUGAUGUUGGCCGUCGAAUAUUCCAAUUCUAGCGAAUCCAUUAGCUGAUGAACUAAAGACACUAAAUCCAAACUAAGCAUAUUCACAUGGAUUUUCUAAGCGUUCUGAUUUGUUUUUCGUGUAUUUAUUUAAAUUUUUGUUGUACGUGUCAUGGGAAUUCAGAGAAUAGGCCUAUUAUUUAUCAGGCUAGGCCUACAAAAGGAGUUAAUUUUGUGUUGAUCAAGUUGAUCAAUAUACAUUUAACCCCUCUUUUGUCUCUAAAAUCUAGAAUAUUUUAAUUCUUUGGUGAAAAUUAUAAAACCCCAGAUUAGUGAUCUUUUAACAAAUUUGAGGUUUACUAGUUUCGGUUCAGUUCUUUUUAUUUUUACCACUGUUUUUUAAAAUAUGUAAUGGAAGUCUUUGAUAGUAUUGUGUGCUUUAAUUGUUUGAAUAACUCAAGCAGUUUGUGAAUCUGUUUGAUUCCCGGAUCUGAACAAUGGUGCUGUAAGGAAAACCACGAAGCUACAAACCAAAACCUUUUGAAGUGUAACAGAUAUGGAUGCUAUACUUGUGUAAUGACCUUGCGUUGGAUUUGGCCUGACCCUGGUCAUGGCCGCUAGGAGUACAGUACUGUAGCCUGCAGCUAGACAGAAUACUUCUUGGUAGAGUAUGGAAAACAUAGUUAGAUGUCAGUUGCAGCUUCAGACAGUAGCCUAUUACACAGAAGUAAUAUUUACAGUACCUUCCCCCUUCCCGCAAAGCCUGAACACAUGUUUGCCAGGUUUACAGAUUCGGGCACUAAAAGGAAGACAUCAGUAAGAAUUUUGUUUUGAAGACUUAAGGAAGGAAAUAAGUUUCAAUGGAUUUUCAAAUUAUGAGCGCUGAUUCAGAUAUUGGAAAAGACAAACCGAAGUGAUAAAAGAAGAUCCAUCGGAAAUAGACAAUUGACAGCUGGAAACUGUCCGAAUUAAGAAAUUUUAAGCAUGAAGGAAAAAUAGAGUUCAAUGCACUGAGUUACUAUGGCAAUGUUUCAGUACAUGGAGGGAAAUUAAAUGCAUGUUUUAUUACCUGUUUACAAUUUGACUGUUUGAUUUACAGCAGACGCACUGCUAUGUUAUUGUAUACGUCAAUGUUCUCUAUGUUGUUUGAAUAUAACUUAAUAAUUACUUAAAGUAACUCAUGUAACAGCGAAGAGAAGAAGUAUACAAUCUGAAAAUAUUAAAAUGUAAGCAUUUGUGGUAAAAUUAUCUUAAUAGCACCUCGCAUAGGUUGACGUCAGUGCAGUAAGUCGUUUUGAGCCCACGUAAAUCAUUUUUGAUUAGAAACGAAAUAUCCAGAGCUUGAUUGUCUCUAAUUGGUUGCAAUAUGCAUAACGACAUUAAUUUUCAUCUAUGUAAAAUUAACACAACAAAUAUGUUGGCUUUGAAAGAAUCACUUCUACAUUCACCAACAUAUGUUCAAAGAAUGAUAUGAAAAAAAAAAUCUAUUUUUAUUAACUACGGUAUUCGUGUGUCCUGUAAUUCUUGGCAUUAAAAUCACUGACUAAAUAAAACAUAAAACAGGGUAUGCUAAAUUCUUUUGCACUCUACGGCCAGGCACAGGCUGCGUCGACCGUCAGCCAUGCAUGCUUUACAACACGACACUAUCUGCUGAUUGUUGUCUUCUUUUUCACUAACAAUACAUGAACCAUUGAAUAUGUUUUGUAUUUUAUGCUUUUAUGUGAUUGUUGUUGAAUAAAGACAGAAUUGAAUUGGCGGCAGUCAGAGCAGGUCGUCAUGGAAAGUAAUCUGCCUCCCAUGCCUCGUAGCAUUGCGAUCUCUGUGGAAACACAUCGUUGGCUGAAGCAGUGUGUGCCCAGGUCAAGAGUUAUGGCACCAGCUACCCAUUUUUUUAUGAGAGCAAGACUUAAUAAACUUCUGAUUUUACAUUGGUAUCAAUAUUUCGAAAAAAGUACGAUAAUAUUUAAAAAUAUAUAAUAAUAUGUAAGGCUAUUAAAUCAUCAUUUUUUUUUAAUGUGAUUGUAUCCAUCAAGUUUGAAACCAAAGAUCAUCGUUAGUAUAUCUAGCGAUUGAAGGGCUAUGAUGACACUAUUAGGUUGCACAGUGUAUUAUAUUUCUUUAGAUUUUCCAGGAAAAUGUGGUUUCCAUAAAAUCGCUACAAUUCCACUACAGCAGUUUCACUGCAAUCGCUACAUUGUGUAGCUAAAUCUGAAGCAAUUGGUAAGGCUCCCCGAUGUACCCGACCAUUCAGCAUCGCCAAAAUUUAUGAAAAACAUGCUUCAGGUAGCAAUUUUAUCUAUAAUUUUCAUGCUUCCAGAAAGGUUUUACAGGAGAGUUUGGUUUCCAUAAAAUCGCUACAAUUUGGCUACAGCAGUUUCACUGCCAUCGAUACAUUGUGUGGCUGAGUCUGAUGCAAUCGAUAAUGCUCCUUGGUUUAACCGACCAAUCAGUGUCGCCAAAUUCAUGAAAACCAGACUUCGUGUAUCAAUUUUUUCUUUAAAUAUCAUGCUUCCAGAAAAAAAAUAAUAUUAACUCCUGAACAGAAAUGUUUAAUUAAAGAAAAUUAAUUCAACAAAUUUAAAUUGUGUGUACAGUUCUGUACUAAUAUGUACUUUCCUGAAUAUACUUAUUGUUCAAACAAAUGUAGUUGUCUUAACUUAAAUGCAUUCUUCUGGAGAUUUUAAAGCGUUAAAUAACACCAGCAACUGUUACAUCUUCUCAUUAAAGUUACUUAGCAUUCUAAGGUCAAUAUAAUGUCCUCAAACUUAAUAUUUGUAAUUCAUCUCACCAUUAUCUUUACAGAUGAAAUUUCUAAUGGUUAUAUCUUAAGCUUGUUUUCCAUAAAAUCUCUACAUGCUAUCACCGACAGCUGAUGCUGAUUGCUAGGUCGAAUCGGGGAGGCUUCAUAAUUGCAGCGGGGGCUACUACGCUGUACAACGAUUGCAACGAAAACACUGUAGCGUCAGUGUAGCGAUUUUAAGGAAAGCAGACGUUUACUUUUGAAAAUUUCAUUUGACUGUGACAUAAUUGUAUUAAUGUAUAAUAUUCUAAUGUAUGUUUCUACGGAAUAGCGUUCAUGCAAAUGCGUUUAAUAAGUCUACACUAUCCUGUUAAAAAGUUAAAUAAUUCAUUUAAACUGGUUUAUAUAUUUUUUUUAACUGUUCUGAAAAUUUGCAUUUCAAAUUAAUUAUUUGUUUAUUAAAGACAAAAUUUAUACUGUUCAUCUGAUAUCAAUAUUUAAUCAACAACUAAAAUAUUCAUGGUAUAAUUUAUUGUGGUACAGUAUGUUAAUUCCAGUCCAUUUUUUUCUGUUGCUCUGUUGUAUUUCACUUAGGGUUUUUGUGUGUACUUAUUGUCAAAAUGCUUGUUUUUCACAUCUUAAUUUAGAAUUUUAUUUUUAUUUUGAAAGAGAGUAAACAAUGUUGAACACCAUGCUUUAAAAUUUAUUUAUUAUGAUGUGGAAUACUAUUGUUUGUAUAUUGUAAUUAUAAAAGAAUAUAUGAUGUAUUUACUUAAUUAAAUACACUAACUGUAAUUUCCAUCUGAAACAUUCAUUGGAAAUACUAAAUUAAAUUAAGAAUAAAAUAAUUGUAUGAUGAUAUCAGGAUAUUAAUAAUACACUGGUUACAUUCAUAUUUGAAUAUUUUAAUAUAUUUGAUAAAAAAUAAAUAUUGUUUUUCCCUUAAAAUUCAAAUUAUGGUAAACAAUUUAACAGUAUAAGACUAUAUUAGAAAGUUUAUAAUCCAAGUUAGAAAAUAAAAUUAUGUUCAUUCCAAAAAUCUGAGUAUAAAUAAAUAAGUAUUAAGUUGAAGGUUAAGAAAUUAAGAAUUGAAAACCAAGAUUAAGAAUAACUGUCAAUUUCUGUAGCAAAUAACAAAGUUAUAGUAUAAGGCAUGUAGAAAACUUAAUCUGAAAUUGUUUAAGAAUACUUGACUGAAUAUAUUAAUGCCUCUGUACCGUUGAUCUUGCAAUGUCGACUUAUUGUUUUAGAUGAUGCGUAGGGCACAAAUUUCACUCUCCGCACGUAUCCAUUAGCUCUUGUAUAACGACAAGUAGGGCAUUGACGUCUGAGAUUGGAUGAAGCUGUGGAUAAUCUCACUGUAUUUAAAUCUUUUGCACCGCAGCUCAUUAUAUCAUUAUUAUUCGCAACAUUUUCUAUGAUGUAGAAUUGUAGAUAGCUCGGACAGAUUAGUAGAGUGCUGUGCCGUUAAACUGAACAGCGUUCCAGCUUCUUGCGUGGAACACUUUACUUAAUUGGAACCAGGCUGGUUCAUAAACCCUGUAUGUUGCAUAAAUCAGACAUUGUCACCACGCACGAUCGAAAACACAGUAUUAAAGAUAGAAAUACUGUGUCAUAUUAGGAAUUAUCUAAUAACUCGGCGUAUACAAGUAGGAGCAAUUACAGUCAAUGUGCAAGUUUAAUUACCAAUAAUUUAUCAUUGCCAGAAUUUGUGAAUACAGUUUAAAUUCUUUUAUGAACUCAAUCAUCUAGAUUUUUUUUUUAUGAUUAAUAGUGUUUUUGCAUUGAUUACUUAUUAUCAUAAAUGAUGUACUGUAUUAUAGUCACUUUUUUGUGCUUUUAUAAUUUUGGUUUGGAAAGACAUCAACGUUUUGUAAUGUUCCUGCAUUUUUAUUACAUUUCUAUGCUGCUUAGAUACAUAUCAGUUGUGUUGGCUAUAAAGAAUUCUUUUUUAUUUAAUUGAAUAAUUUAAGAUUUUGUAUGCCAUAAUUAUGAAUUAUUAAUUUGUCAAUGUUUGUAUAGCCAUGUUGCACCUUUCAAUUUUUAGGUGUAACUCAGAUUUUUGCAAUCAACUUUAUCAAUCAAUCAGUCUCUCAUAUAAGAAUCAAAGAUAUAUAAUUCUGAUGAAAUUAAUGUUAAUAAAAGAUCAGUCAAGAUGAAUUCA